GCCUGGGUAGCUCACUCAGUUGAGCAUCUGUCUUCAGCUCAGGUCAUGAUCUCAUGGUAUGUGGGUUCGAGCCCCACGUCGGGCU
rfam:Felis catus isolate Cinnamon breed Abyssinian chromosome D2, whole genome shotgun sequence.